GGGGGGCCUGGUCCAGAGUGGGGUGAAGCUGGAAGAUCGGGGAGCAAACUACUGUCAUCACCCCACAAGGGACAAGGAUCCAGGCCCCUCGCAGUGGGGUCCAGUUAGGAAGCAGGACACCUCCUUCUUCCCUUCCCACGCAGAUUCCUCUGCCUGAAUCCGGGGAGUGACCCCGCAGAGCGAAAUACAUGAUAAUGUGGAGGCUUCAGGGAAAGCGAGCGCUUCGGGAGGGCAAGUGAGUGACAUGAGAGACCAGGGCUAGAGCUCUGGAAGGACUUCCCAGAGGACUGGGUUUGAGUUUCUGAGAGAAGCCAGGGAAUCCUUGAGAAGAAAAGAGCCCCUCGCACACCGGGGCACAGAGCGGACAAACUACCCCUCCUCCACGGCUGGUACUCCGUGGCCCGUCCGGCAGAUUCCGUUGGGGCACCUCUCCGACAAGGCACAGCAUCCAGCCCUAACCACCCCCUGCCAAGGUGGGAAGACUGAGGCCAUUAGACGUGGAGAGACUGACUCAGCUUUCCCCAGAUCUGACCAGAAAUUCCACAACACUGAUGAAGUGGCUUUGUCAAGAUUUCUGGGAGACAGGAGGAAAUAUAGGUGGAGGCUGAGUUCAUAUCCCAACCUCGUACUCACAA